ensembl:snRNA U6 U6 spliceosomal RNA
GUGCUCACUUUGGCAGCACAUAUACUACAACUGGAACCAUACAGAGAUUAGCAUGGACCCUGUGCAAGGAUGACACGCAAAUUCAUGAAGCAUUCCAUAUUUUU